GACGAACGCUGGCGGCGUGCCUAAUACAUGCAAGUCGAGCGCAGGAAACUGACGGAACUCUUCGGAGGGAAGGCAGUGGAAUGAGCGGCGGACGGGUGAGUAACACGUAAGGAACCUGCCUCAAGGAUUGGGAUAACUCCGAGAAAUCGGAGCUAAUACCGGAUAGUUCAACGGACCGCAUGGUCCGCUGAUGAAAGGCGCUUCGGCGUCACCUUGAGAUGGCCUUGCGGUGCAGUAGCUAGUUGGUGGGGUAACGGUCCACCAAGGCGACGAUGCAUAGCCGACCUGAGAGGGUGAUCGGCCACACUGGGACUGAGACACGGCCCAGACUCCUACGGGAGGCAGCAGUAGGGAAUCUUCCACAAGGGACGAAAGUCUGAUGGAGCAACGCCGCGUGAGUGAUGAAGGUUUUCGGAUCGUAAAACUCUGUUGUAAGGGAAGAACACGUACGAGAGGAAAUGCUCGUACCUUGACGGUACCUUACGAGAAAGCCACGGCUAACUACGUGCCAGCCGCCGCCGUAACAC
rnacentral:rRNA from 1 species